GAUAAUAGGAGAGGACGAGUUAAGAAAAAAAUUAAAUUUUUUUAUAAAUGGAAAAAAUAUGAUUUAUUUGUAACUACAACUUAAUACUGUGUGCGUGUGGGUAUUAGCGAUCCGUGUGUGUGGGUAGUCGGAGGAUAGGUGGCGGUUCUCUUGCUUAAAUUUAGAGAAAGUAAAGAGCGAAUAAUUUAAUCGUUUUGUUUUCAGUUUUUAUAAUUUUUAAACACGGCUCCUAUUAAUUAUACUAUUAAUAACCCUUCUACCAAAGCUCUUAAAAUCGUUCAGUGGAACGUUCGCUCUCUCUUUGCUAGCCCAGUCAACACGCUUGUCAGAAUGGGAACUCAAAGAUAACUUUUUUAAAAACGCAUUUUAAUAUCUCGGAAAUGAUAUCUAAAUAGUAUCUGAUAAUCAUUAUUUACUGGAAAUAUCUAUGAAUCAUUAUUUACUAGAAAUAUCUAUGAAGAGAGCUCUUAAAGUUAUCACAUUUCAGAGAUCUCUUGAAAAUGUUAUCUUUACGAUAUCAUGCCAAAUGAUAGCAGUUUGAUCUGUCAUGAAAGAUAUAACGUCUUUUGUUUCUGAGCAGUUCAAAUGCGUAUAUGAUAUUGCAGUACAUGGAAGCUUCGAAAACAAUAUUAUGAUGUGAAUAUUCUGAAUGUAUAAAUAUUCAUAUUGUAGAUUCUGAGGAUAUUUAUUGAACAUUUGUGCUGUCUGGGAUUAUAUAGAAUAUUUGUAAUGAUAUCUGAACGAAAAAGAUUUAGAAGCGCCAACGAAAUCGAAGAGCUAACAACAUCGGAGAAUUCAUAAAAUCUACAAAGCAACAUGCAGUUCAAAUGAAGAAACAAUUAAUGAAAUGUUUCCUGUUAAUUCACCAUCAAAAGAAAAUAAUUCAUUUAUUGAAACAGUAACAAUGAUCUUUCAUGCACUACGUGAAAUACAUCAAAAGGGUCUUCAGGGCUAGCCAUCAGCAGUAUUGUUGCAACAAGGAUUUUACGUUGUACAAACCACAGUCCACAACGGAAGAAUGACAAUAAUCAACACAUACAAGAUAAUCCCAGGACAAACACAGACAUAAAACAAAGAGCAGAUAAACAGACGUUGAAAUACAGAUGUCAAAUAUAAACAUCUGAACAUAAUCAGAAGCAAGAAAUAGAAAGUCAUCAUCGUGAAAAGUUUGUCGGAACGACAUUAAAAUGAUUUUGCGUACAGUGAUAUCCAUGAGACAAAUACUCUUAGAUUCAAAUUUAAACCAAGUAUAAGGAAAAGAGAUAGAUUUGGGUUUGCCGAUUUUUACUGUGGAAAGAUUAAACGAAUUUAAUAAGACACUAUCUGAAAAUCUUGCUGCUCGAUUGCAUUAUGUAAGUAUUAUUUACUACUAAAACUUUAUUACAUUACAAUUAACCCUGAUAGACAUUUAUUACUGACCAAUUGAUCAUAGUCGGUAUUACAUUUCUAUAAGAAAAAUAUAAGUAGAUGAUUGGAAACAACUUCUUGUUUUUGAAGAUAUGUAAUCCUGACUAUUUUGAGACGACUUUUCCUCUUACAACAUUAUAUCUACAACCGUUUUUUUUAUAAUGAAAAAAACCACUUUGCUUUUUACAGGCGAUAGACAUUGACAAUGCAACUCAUGGUCAGAUUCUACAGCUGACAGACAUAAACACCCAUGUCUGAGUUGCGCCGCCACUGCCUAUCUCCUGUAUCUGUACUAUAAUAUGCAAACUAAAUACACUUACUGUUUAUCAUAUAAAAACUAGACAACGUUUGGACAACGUUUUGUACGUUUCAGAAUCUAGUCUGAAUUAUGUAUUUCCAAGGACAUCAGGUUGUUUUCAAUCAUCCUGUAUAACUUGUGUUUUAAGUUGAAACAUACAAUAUGAUUCAAGUAUCUAAAAAAAUGUACAUAGACGCACGAUUGUCAUUAUAUACCGCAAUUGAAUCGUAGAACUAUAAUCUAUUAUAUUUAUGGAGAUGAUUCUGCCUGUUGGAAUUAAUUAUUAAAUAGACAACAUGCUGGAAUGAAAUGUUUUUUUCAUUUUCAUGUAACAAUAAAUUGACUAAAUGCUAUUUUAAAUAUUAAUUAAAUUCUGAUAGUUUUUUUUGUAUAUCUAUUGUUUCAUUAUAUGUUGCAUCUAUGACUGGCACGUAACUAACUCAUAAGGGAUGUAACGUUUACAUCCAUGCAUUGUGUGAUUUAAUAUCAGUAUAAUUGUUAUCAAAUGUAGGUUCGUUUGUCUAUCUGGGUAUACCAAAAAUGUGUAUUACAUAACCUCUAUAUAAAACACCUUAUAUAUCUUGAAAUGACAAUAGUAUUAUGUGGCAGAGCUCGGCAAGAGAUACAUUUUACAUGCUAGACGACAAGGCAAGGGGAACAACACUGGGUGGACGUUCCCUAAAAUUGACUGAAAGGUGUAUCGUUUGCCGAACUUUGUUAUAUAGACAAAGAUAAAUAAUUUUUUUACGAUUA